ACAAAAAUUGUGCGGUAGUGGUAGCGCGUAAAAAUCUCGUUGCAAUUGUCUAUGAAAAUCUUCGGUAAUUAUUCUUAACUUUUAUGCAAUAAACAAUUGAUAAAGACUACAGUGUUAUAAAAUAUUGAAAGAAAUCAGUGAAUGUAUUAAGAAAAUCUCGAAAAACAAAUCAAAUUAUCAAUUGUCUGCCAAACAAGUAAAAUUUCCAAUCAGACAAAAGAAGUGGGAGAAAAAAAUGCGGUAGUCAGUCAGAAAAGUUGUGGUAGUCUCAGUAGAUUUGCUGGGAAAAAAUACUUGUGAACUAUGAAAAAUGUUUCGUAUUUAUAGAAAAUCAAAGCAGUCUGUUGAAAAAAAAAUUUCUAAUAAUUAAAAAAUUAUUUGCCAAAACCAUUUCAUUUGUUCGUGCCAUAAUAGAAAAGCCAAAAGGAGUCGCAUUUCUUGCAUUUAACGUGUGCGUGUUCGUUCGUGUGUGCGUUUUUGUGUUUAUCGGUGUUUGUUUUUCCCUAUUCGGUUGUCGCAUGAACUCUUCGUUGCUGACAGAGACGCCAAAUUCCCUCUGUUGUGGCAUUGAUUUUGUGCAAAAAAUAACAACACAAAACAGAGAGCAACUUUACUGCUCCCAAAAACUCUCGGUCGCUCUCCCGGCAAAACAAAACGGAAUUUUCUCCAGCCCUUUUGCAAGGGGCCAUUGAAAAUACCGUGUCUCUUCUUAACAUGUGCAUUUUUGUCUAACUCUCAGAGAGCUGAGUAUUGAAAACAACGUCUCUGCUCUGGCUCUGCUGCAGAGGGUUUGUGAAAUAACAACAAACAAUGAAGAAAUUAUUGUGCGCGUAAAGGAGUAAUGAAAUAAAACAAAAUAACAAACAAUUUUGUGCAUGGAUUUUAAACAUUUUAUAACAAUUAAUAGAUUUAUUAAAUAUUUUAUUAUGGAUUAAACAUAUUUGCAUGGAUAUUUAGUGAAAAAUUCAAAAGCGGCGCCUAAUUCAGUUACAGUUACCGGCAUUAUCAAGGUGUAAUUAUGAAACAUUUUUAACAUUAAAGUGUGGAUAUUGUGCGGAAGCAUGAAAUAAUGACAAUUUUCGAAAUUUAAGGUUAUUCCAGUGUCACCGAAUUGAAAACGAAUAAAAAAACGACAGAAAACAAAUAAUUGGAUUAAAUUGAAUUAAAAUGAAUUUGUUCGACUUCGACGAAUCAUAGAUAGAUAGUGAAUAUACCAAAAUACCAAAUAGAAUGUGAACCAUUCUUUAAUGAAAAAAAAACAAAAAACGACAAAAUAAAAUAAAAUAAAUGAAAUUUGUGAAAAUUAAAAACCAAGCAGAAAAAAUAUAUAUAAAAACGAAAUAAAAAAUUUUUGUGUAUUAAAAUAAAACGACAAAAAAAAACCUACAAUAUCUAUAAAUACCAGUUCAAGGAUUAUUAUAACAUUUAAAUAAACGGAUUUUCACUUUUGAUGUGAUAUAAUUAUUUACUUUUUGCAUGUAAAUAGUAAAAUAAAAACGUACCACACACACACACAUAGGCGGGGACCCCAAGUGAAGUCGUGGAGAGUCAACAAUUGAAUGGUAGAAAGGAAUGAAGUUCUACCAUAACUAAAUUGAUAAAUAGCAGCCAAGACGACAUACCUAUCUACCUAACUACAUAUGGUAACGUUUUGUCCAAAAUAAACAGAAACACAGCCAAUAAGAAAAAGAAAAAAAAACAAUUAUUGUAAAUAAACAGCGAAAUAAACAAAAAAAAAAUUGGAAAAAAAAGUCCCCAAGAACUAAGAAAAACCUGGUACCAUAUGCCGCCGCAAUGGAAAUCAUUGGCAUGCACAAGAAAAUCAUGUCGUUGUUGUUUUUGGUGAUAUUGAAAAAUCAAUGUAAACAACAAUUUGAUGAUUAAAACGACAAUGUCUCCUACUGAUCGGAACAACAACACCAAGUGUAUUAACGAUCUUUGGCAGAGAAACCAACAUCAAAUAACCCGUAUAGCGGCAUUGUCAUCGGCGGCAAUGUCAAUGUGGUUUAUUCCUAACAAUAACAAAAACAACAAGAAUAAGAAUACGAAUACGAUUACCAAUACCACCGCAAACAUUACCACCAAUAACGCCAACAACAGGUCAACUUUAUCAUCAACCUCCGCGACGGCGUUUCACUGCAGUUUACCAGCGCCUUUGCUGUUCUCCUCAUCAACGCUGUUGCUCUUCCUUUUGUUGUUGGUGUGUGCUGCCACGGAUAGGUGGUGUUUGUAGAUAUCCAAACAACACCAAGAACACCAGAACACCCUAGCACACAUUUCUAAACAAAAACAAAAGAUAAACACAGAAAACGAACGCCAAGCUGGCGGGCGGGCGACCAGACCGGCAGUCCAACAGAGACUUCAAUUGAAAAUUUCGAUUAAACACGGGGUGUUGGGUUUUUGCGUUCAUUUCCUUACAAAACUCAAGCGUGUUAACAACACAAACCAAAAAUUACGCUCUGAGCGAGUGAGCGAGCGUACAUACGUUUUUCCGCGGAAAAUCCAAAACAAGAAAAACAGAAUCGAAAUACAUUUUUGAAUGUUCAGGAAAAAAUACAACAACAACAAAAAUAAAACAAGAACAGGAUUUGUUGCAGCUUUCAAGUGAAAGAGGAGAUUUGCUGUUGGUGGUGCCAACCACACAGCUCCGUACCAAAGGAGGAGACAAUUAAAUGAUGUCAUGUUAUCGGUUGGACAGCAUCUACAACAACAGCAACAACAACAAGCAACAAACACAGCUGCUAAUCAACAAGUAACAACAAAAACAACAACAUAAUCAACAUUGCAAUUUGGCAAACAUUGGGGCUUAAUAACAAGCAAGUGGCGCCCAACCUAAGAACUUUUGAAACCCCUUGCAAUUUUGUGAAAAAGUGACGCCUAUUAAAAACCAAGUGGCGCCCAACGUAAAAACUUUUGAAACCCCUUGCAAUUUUGUGAAAAGAGUGACGUUCAUUAAAAACCAAGUGGCGCCCAACGUGUAAAGUGAAGCCACCUUACAAUUUUCAAAAAAUUAUUACAUAUUAAGAAGUGGCGCCCAACGUGUCAACUUUUGAAACCCCUUGCAAUUUAACAGAAAAAGUUACGCCUAUUAAAAACCAAGUGGCGCCCAACGUGUAAAGUGAAGCCACCUUACAAUUUUCAAAAAAUUUGGGCAUAUUAAGAAGUGGCGCCCAACGUGUGAACUUUUGAAACCCCUUGCAAUUUGACAGAAAAAGUGACGCCCAUUAAAAACCAAGUGGCGCCCAUCGUGUAAGGCGAACUCCUCUUACAAUUUUGCAAAACAUCAGUGCUUAUUAACCAACCAAGUGGCGCCCAACGUGCCAGCCAACAGCCAGCAUCUAAUCUAAUGGAAUAUAAUGAUGGAUAUAAAAAUGAACAACAAUAGCUUUCAAAGCAUUCGGAGUAGCAACAGCAGCAACUACAUUAGCCCAACUACUAGCAGUGGUACGGGACAUAAAUCCCCACUCGAGAGACAGGAUUUCAGGCAACAACCAUACCAAUGUCCAAAAAGACUUAACAAAAGCCGGGAAAAAUUAACAUCACACAUCUCUGCCGAGCUCUCACCUCCAUCAAGGCGAUGUCCUUCUCCUCCCGCCCAUCCUCCUCUCAAAUUAGUAACAUUAAAUGAAAUCUGUCCAAAAAAUGGCUGUACAUGUCAGUGUUUUCAGGGCGGCUUCUGUGAGCAUGGCAGUUUUGUGGCCAGCGGCCAGGAAGUUGCAACUCGUAUAGUCAGGAGGACAAUGGGGAGAGAUGGAGAACAUGCGACAACAUUAAACAGCGGGAAAUGUGGCAAUAUAGAAGAAGAACAACAACAGAGUAGGAGAACAUGUCCCACUCAGCAAAACCUGCAACACCCUGAUGAUGAAAAGCAGCAACAAGAGCCACAACGACUAGCAAAAUAUCGACUGAGUAACAGCAACUGGAACAGCAGCAGUAGUAGCAGGACAGCACCAAGCUUGAAUAGUGGCUGUUACAACAUUUCAAAUACCACCACCAACAACAGCAUUAUUAGCCAUAAACAAGAAGAAGACGAAGCAGUGGAUUUCCAUAAAACAACAUCUGCAGCCAGUAGAGAGCCAGCGAAUUGUUGGAGUUGGUGGUGUUGGUCAAACAGGGAAAGCAAUUUGCCAUUAAGGACCCUGGGAUGCGGACAACAAGUAGGCCAUAUAACCACAACAGAAGGAGGAACAACAACAUCAUCAUCGUCCUUACAAUCUACAAAGCUUUAUCCUGCUAAACAACAACAACAUGGGCAGUCCAACAAAAGCCUUAAAUGCAAAACAAAGUCACCCUCAUCGACAUCAGCAUCGUCAACUCGGCCAAAAUGCUUCUCAUCAUCGUCGUCCUCAUCAUCGUCAUCAUUGUCAUCGAUAACACAAGCCAUGGCCGGCAUCUACAACAACAUUAUUAGGCAUUUUGGCCUACAGCUAUGUUGUCUCCUGCUGUUACGGCUAACAAUGAUUACCAGUGCUGUGGCGGUUGGCAUGGAUGCGGCAAAUGGAAAUCUUACGGAUUUGGGUAGUCCGGGUAUGUAAAAAUGUUUUUCCUUCUUCUUUUUCC